rnacentral:rRNA from 1 species
AUGGACGACGACGGUCAUCUUCUUCACGCCUGGCGUCGGCGCGUCCGAGCACGCAUACGUGCUCAAGGUGAGCCACUCGCCCCUUCCCCACUUGCUCGCGCCGCCGCGUAUGCCAGCUUCCGCAAGGUGGUCACCGCCUUGGUAGGAGGACAGGAAGAGCAGUGUGAGCUGGCGGGGAUGGAGGCGUCCGGCCCGCCGUUCCUCUGGUCACUGCUCGGGCGUGCCCAUGGCGUGCGUGCCUUCUUCAAUGACCAGAGGAUGAACGCACAAAAGGUGCUCGAUGGAAUGCUUACUUCCCAAAGUUGGUCAAGUGAGCUAUAA